UACGUAGGGACCAAGCGUUGUUCGGAUUUACUGGGCGUAAAGGGCGCGUAGGCGGCAAUUCAAGUCAGCUGUGAAAUCUCCGGGCUUAACUCGGAACGGUCAGCUGAUACUGCUUUGCUAGAGUGCGGAAGGGGCAAUCGGAAUUCUCGGUGUAGCGGUGAAAUGCGUAGAUAUCUGGAGGAAUACCGGUGGCGAAGGCGGCAUCCUGGACCGGCAUUGACGCUGAGGAGCGAAAGCUAGGGGAGCAAACGGG
rnacentral:rRNA from 1 species